CAGUGGAAAAUGGUAUACAGUGGUAUAAAUGGUAACAAAUCUAUAGUAACACAUGAUAAUAUGUUAGCAAUCCAGGAAUAUAUGAGGUGGAGUAUCUUCCAAGCUUCAGUCAGUACCUGAGGGUGGUAGGUGUUUCACUGCAGGAUGUUAAAUGCAGUCUUUCACUGAGUUCAGUGUGAUGUGAGGCCUGAGGGUGGUAGGU